rnacentral:misc_RNA from 1 species
CGUCGAAGGUGGGGCUGAUGACUGGGGUGAAGUCGUAACAAGGUAUCCGUACCGGAAGGUGCGGAUGGAUCACCUCCUAACAGGGAGACAACACAAUGAUUUUGAUGCCUGAGUGCUUUUAUUCUUAGGCCGAAAUACUGUCACCUUAGGUCGAUCGGUACCUCAGCUUUGAAGUCAAGAAUCAGCAGCAAUGUUGAUUGCUUGAUGGAGAUUUUCAGUUCCUAAACUUUGUCUAGGUCACACCCCAAAAGGGAUGAGACUCCUGGGCCAUUAGCUCAGGUGGUUAGAGCGCACCCCUGAUAAGGGUGAGGUCCCUGGUUCAAGUCCAGGAUGGCCCAUUCGGUGUUGGGGGUUUAGCUCAGUUGGUAGAGCGCCUGCUUUGCAAGCAGGAUGUCAGGAGUUCGAGUCUCCUAACCUCCACUGACCGAACUUGAUUCCCAUCUCCAAUUCUUUUGGAGUUGAGCUCGAUUGGAGUGUGAUUUAGAUGUGUCCGCUGGAUGACCCCAGCUUCCUGUCAUUCCAAGUUUUAGGUUAAAGCCUUGAAUUUGGUUGAUAAGAUGCUGGGCUCGGAUCAAAUGAUCAAGCAAUUGAUGAUUUGAUUUGAAGUUCUAGCAGAACCUUGACAACUGCAUAGGUGAGUCUGGAAAAAACAAAGCAUCUUACAGAUGCAUUGUUUUGAAUCUGAUUUUCUGAAAGGGAGAUUAGAUCUAGAACAAUGAAAAUUCUUUUGAGCAAGAGCCGAGACUCUUGAACGUUCUUUGAUUGGUGUCGAGCCAAUCAAAGUUUGAUCUUGUUUUUAGCGAUAAAAACUUGAGAAUCUGCUUUCAACGGCGGUAAGCGUUCAGGAGGUUAAUUGGUCAAGCUACAAAGGGCUCACGGCG